rnacentral:rRNA from 1 species
GACGAACCGUCCAAACGUUAUUCGGAAUCACUGGGCUUAAAGGGUGCGUAGGCGGUCUUUUAAGUAGGGUGUGAAAGCCCCCGGCUCAACCGGGGAACUGCGCCCUAAACUGUAAGGCUUGAGUGAGGUAGGGGUGUGUGGAACUUCCAGUGGAGCGGUGAAAUGUGUUGAUAUUGGAAGGAACGCCGGUGGCGAAAGCGACACACUGGACCUUGUCUGACGCUGAGGCACGAAAGCCAGGGGAGCAAACGGG